GCCGAAAUAGCUCAAUUGGUAGAGCAACUGACUUGUAAUCAGUAGGUUGUGGGUUCAAGUCCUGCUUUCGGCACCA
rnacentral:tRNA from 1 species